CCCUCUUAAAGAGCACCUAUUAUGGGAUACAUGUUUUUAAACAUCAUUUUGUGUGUAAGUGUGUAUUAGUACAUGCUAACGAUAUUCAAAAAGUACAUACCUCAAAGAAAACGAUGACGCGAGUUAUCGUCUCUAACGUUCGAGGACUACAAAAAACACUCGGAUUGUAGGCAACAGUUUACUUCCUGUGAUUAGUGACGUAGAUAAGACCAACAUUAUCAUAGUUCAGCCGUCUCUGCUUUGCUUGGGUACGCCCUCAAAGACGAGGGUGGGGAGCGCCGAGUCAGAAGAGAGCUAAAAUGGCGGAGGUUGGGAGUCCCUGCUUUUACUCUGUUUGCAAACUCUUGUUUCAUCGUUUAAGUGAUUGAAUCUCUCGAGUAGACUCUGUCUCUUUAGAUGCGAGGGCAAAAUAGCACUUUAUGGACUUCCACAGAGGACAUCAUGUUUAAUACGGUUCCGGAAAAAUCCAGUCAGAAGUUGUUCACGGAGUUUUCACAAUAACUGCUUCUCAUGAACCGAAGCUGGAUUUGCGCGACGUCUCCUCCUGAAAGUUGGAUUACUGUGCACUUCUGGAUCACAGGCUGUAAGUAUUCACGUUUAUUAUUUGCCUUUUACUGUACAUUACGUAACCGGUAACCGGAGAUUAACAUAAUGUGCGUGUAGAGCUAAGCUUGCAAGCGAACUGUUUUGUGUUGUAAUACUGUAUUUCAUAAACAACGUACCAUAUUUACACACGUGUAUGUUGAAUUAUGCAGACUAUCGUUUUUUUAUCGAUGUUGGUUAAGACAUGUUUACAAACUUGCUAAGUUACCAGCUUAACUGUUACCGGUAAAAUUUGUUCUCAUGAUCAAACUCAAGAAACUCUAAGUACAGAUGAUUUGUUUAAAGUUAUAUGUAUUUUACUGUUGUAUUUACUUGAAGCUUUCUUAGAUUUUGAAACGAAGUAAACACGUAAUGUGUGUUGCUAAUGUUGGGCCAUGUAAUAUGUAAUACAUGAACGUUUUAAUGAAUAGUCUAACGAUUUAUAGUCAUGGUACUCUAUUGUUAUAAUAUGUCUUUUUGACUGAAUACAUGUUUGUUUUAUUUGUCUAUAUCUUAGAUUCGCAGCUGGACACAUCCUUCUACACUGUAUGCAAACAUGCAACAUCAUAACCAGUGGCGUGUUUACCAUUUUGGGGGCCCUAAGCAAAGCCCAAGAACCGGGGCCCCCCAUGCACCAGCAUUGCCCAAGGUUUUUUAUUUGAAUUGUACAACAAUAAUAUUCAGUAUAUAUGAUACAUGAUUCAGACUGAUCUAACAAACUGAACUAACAAACACCAGCAAACAACAUUGUAAGUUGGUUAUUGCUUGAAUUUAUGGAUGGGAAUCACUUAACUCUCAUGUUUAUAUUGCAAAAACAAACUUACUGUGAGAUACAACAAGCAUAUAUGAGAUUUUAAUGACAAUGAUGAGAUACAGAAUAUGAUUUAUGUAUUUUCGAUGUGAUUUAAACCCCUGCGUGUCUUUAUCACGUUUAUACCUCUACGAGCGUGGAACAAAAGAUGCGUGUCACUGAUCAAACCAAACCAACAAUCACAGGUGUGAAGCCCAAAGUCUUUAAAGUAAACUUGACCAUUGAGUGAAUGUUGUGCAGUUACGAGAGCACAGAGAGAGUCGAGCGAGCGCUCAUUCCAGCACUUGUGUGGCUGGAUUUGUGCAUGCUAAGCAGAGGUGCGCUUUCCCGUAGAGUUUUGCUCAUGAAGUAGCCUAUAUGUGCCCUCACAAGGAUGUGCGCAAAUAUUUUUCUGCGUACAUACUCGCACAUCUCUCGCUUGCGCCUGCUUUAUCCGUACCUUAGAUUUGGGUCUGAAUAAACAUAACAUACUUUCGCACACCUUGUGGCUAGUAGGGGCCCCCCAAGCCCGCGGGGCCCCAUGCAAUUGCGUGGUUUGCGUGGUGGGUAAACACGCCACUGAUCAUAACACACAGUACAAGGAGUCAGACUGGCAUAUGAGGAGCAAAGGUGUGUAACACAAAUGAUGUAUUUAGCUAGUGAAACCACUACCAGUCUUAAAUGUAUAACUGAUGAUGACAAAGUUUUUUUUCUCUGCAUAAUCAUAGGAACCCAGACAGUAGCAUCGUUUCACAAUGUUUCCAUCACCAUCAUCAGUGGAUGCCUUUGCCGUCCGUAGCCUGAGAUUUCAGAUUUGCAGCAAAAAAAUUUGAUUUUCUCAUUUAUUGGAAUGCUGUGCAGGUUGUACCUUGCAGCCAUCCAUUACAAUGUCACCAAGCCGUAACAAAAGCAGGAGAGGGAAAGUACAAGGCUAUGUUCCCAAAACACACAAAUGACAUACCUUAUGUGGAUGAUGUGAUCAGGCUUGUGUUUGAUGAGGUAUUUGAAGAUAAGCUGAAGGAAACUCCGAUUCCAAUGGACCUGGCAUCACAGUUUGAGAAACCUUCAAAGGAGGACGUGAUUGCAUGCCAUCUUCAG